UACGUAGGGUGCGAGCGUUGUCCGGAAUUAUUGGGCGUAAAGGGCUCGUAGGCGGUUUGUCGCGUCGGGAGUGAAAACUCAGGGCUUAACCCUGAGCCUGCUUCCGAUACGGGCAGACUAGAGGUAUGCAGGGGAGAACGGAAUUCCUGGUGUAGCGGUGAAAUGCGCAGAUAUCAGGAGGAACACCGGUGGCGAAGGCGGUUCUCUGGGCAUUACCUGACGCUGAGGAGCGAAAGCCAGGGGAGCGAACGGG
rnacentral:rRNA from 1 species